UAUUGGUGUUUUUGAAUGUGUUGUUUAAAUAACAUAAAAAAUAAAAUAUAUAUAUUGACAUGCAUUAAACAAAGAUAUAUAUUAUUUUAUGUUGUAUAAAUAAAUUGGCAAAAUAGAGAUGGAAGAUAAAAAUAUGGUCAAAGUAAUAAGAGUCUAUGGUGAAUGCCUAGGAGCUUUAAGGCGAAGAAGGUCGUGGUAAGCUGCGAAAAGCUUGGGGGAGAAGCAAACAUUUAUUGAUCCCAAGAUUACUGAAUGGAGUAAUCCA
rnacentral:misc_RNA from 1 species